GACGAACGCUGGCGGCGUGCUUAACACAUGCAAGUCGAACGGAAAGGCCCUGCUUGCAGGGUACUCGAGUGGCGAACGGGUGAGUAACACGUGGGUGAUCUGCCCUGCACUUCGGGAUAAGCUUGGGAAACUGGGUCUAAUACCGGAUAGGAGCCAUCUUUAGUGUGGUGGUUGGAAAGUUUUUUCGGUGUAGGAUGAGCUCGCGGCCUAUCAGCUUGUUGGUGGGGUAAUGGCCUACCAAGGCGGCGACGGGUAGCCGGCCUGAGAGGGUGUACGGCCACAUUGGGACGGAGAUACGGCCCAGACUCCUACGGGAGGCAGCAGUGGGGAAUAUUGCACAAUGGGCGCAAGCCUGAUGCAGCGACGCCGCGUGGGGGAUGAAGGCCUUCGGGUUGUAAACUCCUUUCGCUAGGGACGAAGCUUUGUUGUGACGGUACCUAGAUAAGAAGCACCGGCUAACUACGUG
rnacentral:rRNA from 1 species